GACGAACGCUGGCGGCGUGCUUAACACAUGCAUUUCGAACGGAAAGGCCCUGCUUUUGUGGGGUGCUCGAGUGGCGAACGGGUGAGUAACACGUGAGUAACCUGCCCUUGACUUUGGGAUAACUUCAGGAAACUGGGGCUAAUACCGGAUAGGAGCUCCUGCUGCAUGGUGGGGGUUGGAAAGUUUCGGCGGUUGGGGAUGGACUCGCGGCUUAUCAGCUUGUUGGUGGGGUAGUGGCUUACCAAGGCUUUGACGGGUAGCCGGCCUGAGAGGGUGACCGGCCACAUUGGGACUGAGAUACGGCCCAGACUCCUACGGGAGGCAGCAGUGGGGAAUAUUGCACAAUGGGCGGAAGCCUGAUGCAGCAACGCCGCGUGCGGGAUGACGGCCUUCGGGUUGUAAACCGCUUUCGCCUGUGACGAAGCGUGAGUGACGGUAAUGGGUAAAGAAGCACCGGCUAACUACGUGCCAGCAGCCGCGGUGAUACGUAGGGUGCGAGCGUUGUCCGGAUUUAUUGGGCGUAAAGGGCUCGUAGGUGGUUGAUCGCGUCGGAAGUGUAAUCUUGGGGCUUAACCCUGAGCGUGCUUUCGAUACGGGUUGACUUGAGGAAGGUAGGGGAGAAUGGAAUCCCUGGUGGAGCGGUGGAAUGCGCAGAUAUCAGGAGGAACACCAGUGGCGAAGGCGGUUCUCUGGGCCUUUCCUGACGCUGAGGAGCGAAAGCGUGGGGAGCGAACAGGCUUAGAUACCCUGGUAGUCCACGCUGUAAACGGUGGGUACUAGGUGUGGGGUCCAUUCCACGGGUUCCGUGCCGUAGCUAACGCUUUAAGUACCCCGCCUGGGGAGUACGGCCGCAAGGCUAAAACUCAAAGGAAUUGACGGGGCCCCGCACAAGCGGCGGAGCAUGCGGAUUAAUUCGAUGCAACGCGUAGAACCUUACCUGGGUUUGACAUGGAUCGGGAGUGCUCAGAGAUGGGUGUGCCUCUUUUGGGGUCGGUUCACAGGUGGUGCAUGGCUGUCGUCAGCUCGUGUCGUGAGAUGUUGGGUUAAGUCCCGCAACGAGCGCAACCCUUGUUCACUGUUGCCAGCACGUUAUGGUGGGGACUCAGUGGAGACCGCCGGGGUCAACUCGGAGGAAGGUGGGGAUGACGUCAAGUCAUCAUGCCCCUUAUGUCCAGGGCUUCACGCAUGCUACAAUGGCUGGUACAGAGAGUGGCGAGCCUGUGAGGGUGAGCGAAUCUCGGAAAGCCGGUCUCAGUUCGGAUUGGGGUCUGCAACUCGACCUCAUGAAGUCGGAGUCGCUAGUAAUCGCAGAUCAGCAACGCUGCGGUGAAUACGUUCCCGGG
rnacentral:rRNA from 1 species